rnacentral:miRNA from 1 species
CUGUGGGGAAGGAAAUGUC